ensembl:lncRNA
UUUUUUUUUUUUUUUUUUUUUUCUCUUUUUCAGCUGCACGCAUGGCAUAUGGAAGUUCCUGGGCCAGGGAUCAAAUCCUCACCACAACUGCAGCAAUGCCACUUGCACUGGGCUGGGGAUUGAACCUGCAACACCACAGAGACAAACUGGAUCAUUAACCCCCCGUGCCACACCAGGAACUCCUAUUUUUAAUUUCUUAAGAAACCUCCAUACUGUUCUCCUUAGUGGUUGUACCAAUUUACAUUACCACCAACAGUGUAGGAGAGUGCCCUUUUCUCCACACCCUCUUUAGCAUUUAUUGUUUGUAGACCUUUUUUUUUUUUGUCUUUGUUUUUUUAGGGCUGCACCCACGGCAUAUGGAGUUUCCCAGGCUAGGUGUCUAAUCCGAGCUGUAGCUGCCAGCCUAUCCCACAGCAACACAGGAUCUGAGCAGCGUCUGUGACCUACACUACAACUCAUGGCAAUGCUAGAUCCUUAACCCACUAAGCGAGGCCAGGGAUUGAACCCGCAUCCUCAUGGAUACUAGUAGGGUUUGUUAACCACUGAGCCAUAACGGAAACUCUGUUUGUAGACUUUUUGAUAAUGACCAUUCUGACUGGCAUAAGGUAAUACUUCAUUGUAGUUUUGAUUUGCACUUCUUUAAUAGUGAUGUUGAGCAUCUAUUCAUGUGCUUUUUGGCUAUCCGUAUGUCUUCUUCGGAGAAAUGUCUAUUUAGGUGUCCUGCCCAUUUUUCGAUUGGCUUGCUUGUUUUGUUGAUAUUGAACUAUAUGAGCUGUUUGUAUAUUUUGGAGAUUAAUCCCUUUUUGGUCACUUUGUUUGCCAGUCCUUUCUCUUAAUGGCAAGAGGGGGCAUAGUCACAUUGCAAAGGAGCAGUUAUUAUGACUGUCUAUGAAAAUAAUUGCCACAGUCCACUCUUUGGCCACUAAAAUUUAUACUUCUGUCACAUGCAAAAUUAUACUCAUCCUCUCUCGUAGUUUGCAAAAGUCUUAUCUAAUUGCAGCCUUACUCUUUAAGUCCAAUAUCUCUUGAUCUGCAUUAGGUUCAGAGGUUUGUAAAGCUCCUCAAGUUCAGUUCCUCUGAACUCUUGAGUCAGAGACCUGUGAACUAAAACAGGUUCCAAAUCAGUGUUCUAGGUUUCUAGUUUAAGAAGCUAGAUGAAGAUGACAAAUUAAAUCCAAUUAAGCAGAAGGAAGGAUAUAAUCAAGAAAUAGAAAAUGAGCAGGAAAAUUAGUAUAGGCAAGAGCUAUUCUUUGAAAAGCUUUAUAAAAUUGAUGGAUCAUUUACCUACAUCAAUCAAUAAAAAAGUUAAAGACCCAAGCUAUCUAUAUAUGUGGAAUAAAAAAGAGGAUAUUACUACAAAUCCUGUAAACAUUAAAAGAAUAAUAGACUACGAUGAACAAAUUUAUGUCAGUAAAUUUAACAACUUAGAGGGAGUUCCUGUUGUGGUUCAGUGGUAAUGAAUCUAAUAUCCAUGAGACAUGGGUUCGAUCCCGAGCCUCACUCAGUGGAUCCAGCAUUGCCGUAAGCUGUGGUGUAGGUCACAGAUGCGGCUCGGAUCUGGCGUAGCUGUGGUUGUGGGAUAGGCUCACAACUGUAGCUUCUUUUAGACCCUUAGUCUGGGAACCUCUAUAUGUCACAGGUUGCCAUGUCCAGCGCUGCAGGGCAACGGGAGAUCCUGAAAAGAGGGAUGGCGCAGUAUAACAAAACACAAGACUCUUUUACAUCUAGAAAGUAGGGGGUCAGGAGGCACUUCAUUCCACAGAACAAAGGCCCCUAGGCUUUAAUCCUCAUGACUAUUCUUAGGGAAGGUGAUGUAUGUUAAUUAGCAAAAUCAGGUGCAGGUAAUGGUAAAUCUUAGUUAUUGUGCAUUUUGCACGUGUGCCAAAUUUGUUACUGCAGAAUUCAGCAGUUUCAGUGGUCUCCAACAUCUCCCCCUUUUUUAUUUGUUGCAUAAGAACAGUCAUAGUAAAUUUUUAUUUCAGGGUGUUCAUCUGGUUUCUGUGGAUCAAUCUCAUUCUGCAGACCAUGUCCGCAGAAGGUCUCCAAGUUGAACAGUCAUUUUUGGGAGGUGAGGGUCUGUCUCCAUCCUCCUGGGAACCUGUCAUUCCAGCCUUUGGUUAUAUGGGAUAGGGGUCAUGGUCCUCUCUUCUGUAGCUACUUCCUGCUGGCUAGGGGCAACGAGUACUGGGUGGUUGGACAUGGUAGGUUCCUCUUACAGAGAUUGCGAAGAAAAGAAAAAUAAGAUUAAACAGAGGUUUGGAAUUUAGGUUGAUACCAGUACUGUUGAAGGAGUGUAGUUCUAUCUAAAUAGGUUUUAAUGUUUGAUAUGGUAUUAAGUCAUAAAUCACAGGAGCUAUUGGUUCUUAUACAUGUUGUCUCCUUUCUGUUGUUAUAAGAGACCUUGAAAAUAUAAGGUCGCAGCUGCCAGCUGAUGCUACUUUGAGAACAGCUGGUGGCAUCAAGUCUGACAGAGCACAUAAACCUUAAAGUUCUUAGCAAUACAAAGACUUGUCUAAAAUUACUUCUGCAAUAUUUCCUAGUAUUACCUUGGAUGUCUGACCCACAGCUACUCUAGUCUGCCUUUUUUUUCUCCUGGACAAUGCAGAUGCCACUGUUAAUGAUUUUGGUUUUUCUCGAUAUGGGAAGAUGCAAGAAUUUGGGUCUAUAAAAAUCCUUAACUGAAAUCUAACUAUCUGGAGGCCUAUUCUGUCACUUUUCCCAGAGCACUGAAUGCCUCACUCCUGGUCUCCACGCUGAGCUCUGCUUGGGGUGCUGCAGGUCGACAGACACAGUGGCUCGUGUUUUACUCCAUGCAGAGGCUGAUCGCAAAUGCUAAACUUCAGUUCAGUGUUUACCCAUUGUUAUAAAUUCAACCACAGUUUUGGGAAGCAUAUCAUCAUUUUGUCCCACGGUGCUAGGAAUGAACAUUCCUAGAUCUGGCAAAGAUUUUGCUGAUAGGCAAAUCAACGUGCUAUUACUGGACUAGGCGUUAUUAACAGUAGCCAAAAGUCUCUGGAUCACCUAACUUUCUAAUGUGUUAUGGCCCAGGAAAAUAUUCCCUCUUGUUGCAUUUUCCCAUAUCUAGAGAUCAUUGACCUCAUAUGGAACUGUAUUAUCAUUUUAUCAGAGAUUCAGUUACAAAUUUGACAAUGCAAGAAAUAGCAGUUUUGUGAAAACAGUUAAUAAAAAUAUAGCGGUAGUAGUAAUAAAGUCAUAAAAAUUUAAGAGCUUUCACACUGUUCAGCUAGCUUAGUCGUUCCUUAUCUUUAAAGGAAAUUGUAUAUUGGCUUUGUCCAUUCAGCCCAAUUUCCUAGUGUUAUUAGGUUGGUUUAAUUGUUCCCAACAUAAAGGAGUCUUUAGAUUUAAAUUAAUAUAGCCUGGCAAAGUUAUAGCCCUUGGCUAAAGUCUCACUUGUUGCUAAUUGAGCUUGAGUAACAUGAGAGGAAAACAUUUAUGGCCUGGGUCAGAACAGGUUAUUAACUGGCUAGAUGUCGGGGAUCCCACCUAGUAACAUCAAUAAUAAGAGGCUUGGAAAAGAGAAACCCAUCAGGGUAAGUCAGAAAUAAAACAAAUAACCAUACGAGUCAGGUGUGGCAAUCUUGGGAUAGUGGUCUACUUCUCCUGUGUCUUCUUUUUGUCCAGGCAUUGGUGUUUUUCUUAUUAGAGCCUUGUUUUAGGGUGAGUUUGAAGUCACUAAUUCUCUCUGUAGACCAAUCUAAUGUAGAGGCCCUUCUUAAGUGACAAGUAUAAAUUUAGGAGUUAAUUUUCUUCACUUUCUUUGUGUAUAUGGCAUUUAAUUCCUGAUAAACAUUUUAGGCUAAAGACAACCCUUUAAAUGAUGCUUUUCCAGAAUGUAUAUAUAGUCCCCUGGUUAUCAUGGGAUAUCUGAUAUUUGUCCAGAGACAGAUUACAGUAAUAUAACUUCUGAAACAAGCUUAGAUUAUUAUUCUAAUGGUAAUUAAAUAUUUAAUUUAAUUAAAUUAUUUAAUAAUUAAGUCAAAGUUUAUAAUAAUAUAACAGUGGCAAAGUUUUUGGGAGGUUUUAGACAGUAAACACUAAUCUCAAUACACAAAACUAGAAUGUGAAUUAAAAUAAUCUUUUUCUUUAAAAUUACCCUCAUUUUUACCAAAUAUAGCCAAAUUUUGACUGUUGAAAGUCUUGCCCAAGUGGAAAACAUGUUUUCUAACCAUUACUUUUUCAUUAUUGGGUUUGCCAGGAAGCCAGGAAGAACCAAGUGUCUGUCUUGGACUUCCCAUAGCCCUGACUUAAGAAAAUCUUUUAACAGAGACGGAAUCCAAAAUUCAAGUUUUGUACAAGCUUACUUUCAAAAUUAGUUUACUGAAAUUUUCAAAUUAGUCCUGACAACGCACAAAAUUCCUUUCUCAUAGUCCACUUCCCACAAACCUCCCAACACUUUUUGUAUCCAUAUUAUUCUGUCCCCUAUCUUUCUGUUCAAAAUAACAAGCUGUAAGGCAGACUUUCUUUUCUCUUAAUAAAAUGCAAUUACAUUCCUCCAUUAAACUCUCCAUUAAACUUAGGUACAAUAAGGUAUUAUACUUAAUGUUGAUGACUCUAAAGACAUGUCUAUAUUAGAUCAACAGACUUUGAUAUUUAUAUCUAAUGUCGAAUACUGAUUUUUUUUGCAGUUCACGUGAACCAAAAAUUAAUUUGCUUUAGGUAUUUUGAGAAUUUAUGUAAGCAUUUAAUUUCCUUUAAGCAGAGCUCAUUUAUGAAUUAAUUUUGGCAAUGCCAUACAUACACAAUACACACAAAGACACAAGCAAAACAGAGAACCUCCUGUUUUGAGGUUUUAGCCCUGAAUAAGGUACAUCUGUGUAAAACCUAUCAGUUACAAGAGAGAUUAGAUUCAAAUUUAUGCUCCCACAGGGGUUCCAAAACAUGUUCUACUAGUCCCCAUGCAGAGAAAACAGAGAGGCCCCAGAUUGAUGGGCAUGCUUUAAAUUUUCUCCCGCAUGAUUCCAACAUUCUGGGUCCAAAGUACCUUCGCCUGGAAACUAAGGAUUAUAUUUGACCACGGCUUUUAACAAAUGCCUCUGUCUUAGACUCUGUUACCCAAGCCCCUGACUGUUUCAACAUACAUUUAAGUAACUGAAUAUAAUGUUUAGUUUCUUGUGAUUGAUUCUUUCCCCUUGUUAUCCUGGUUUAAAGUUUCUACUUGCCACUCACUGUUGUGACUCUGUCGAGUGCAAGGCUACCAUCUGUAGUUUCACGUUUUCCUGCUCUGGGCAGACCUUCCUUUUUUCUCCGCUCGUGGCAGAUCUUAAUUUUUCUUUUCUCCGCUUAUGGCAGACCUUCUCUUCCAGCCCCAUGUUGGGUGCCAUUCUGCUGCAUCCAGCGCUACAGGACAAUGGGAGAUCCUGAAAGAGGGAUGGCGCAGUAUAACAAAACACACAAGACUCUUUUACAUCUAGAAAGUGGGGGACCAGUAGGCACUCUCUUCCACAGAACAAAGGCCUCUAGGCUUUAGCCUACAUGACUUUUAUUAGGGAAGAUGAUGUAGGGUAAUGACCAAAAUCAGGUACAGGUAAUGAUAAAGCUAUCUCUUAGUGGUUGUGUUUUUGCAUGUGCGCCAAAUUUGUUUACUGCAGAAUUCAGUUUCAGUGGUCUCCAACAGCAGCUGUGGCCUUAAAAAAACAAAAAACAAACAAACAAAAAAGAUCAAAUUCCUCAAUGGACAGAAACUAUUAAGACUCAUUCAAGAAGAAAAUAGAUAAUCUAAAAGUCUGUAUGUCUAUUAAAGAAACUAGAUUUGUAGAUUUAAAACCUUACCACAAAGAGAAAUCCCAAGUCAGAUGGUUUCUCAGUGAAUUCUCCCAAACAUUUAAGGAAGAAGUAAUGCCAGUUCCACAUAAUCACUUUCCAAAAAAUGGAAGGGAAGAGGAACACUUCUCAACUCAUUUUAUGAAGGCAGUAUUACUCCGAUACCAAAAUAAAGACAUGACAGGAAAAGAAAUCUGUAUACCACUGUCACAUGCAGAAAUUCUUAUUAAAAUAUUAGGAAAUGGUAGACUAAGUUGAAGCCCAUGAUAUAAUAAAAAGUUAAUAUAUUAUGACUAAUGUAAUUUCAAAAAAUAUAAGGUUAUUUUAACAUUCUAAAAUCAAUGUGUUUGAGUUCCCUUCGUGGCUCAGCAGUUAGCGAACCCGACUGGGAUUGAUUCGUGAGGAUAUGGGUUUGAUCCCUGGCCUCACUCAGUGGGCUAAGGACCACAGCUCACGGCAACGCCAGAUCCUUAACCCACUGAGCGAGGCCAGGGAUCGAACCCAAAGCCUCAUAGUUCCUAGUUGGAGUUGUUUUUGCUGCGCCAUGACAGGAACUCCCAAUUUUUAAUUUUUUUAAUAUUUUAAUUUAAUUAAUUUUUUUUAAUUGCUGCACCUGAGGCAUAUGGAAGUUCCUGGGCCAGGGGUUGAAUCUGAGCUGCAGUUGAGGUGGCACCAGAUCCUUUAUCCCACUGCACUGAGCUGGGGAUCAAACCCUUGCCUCCACAGCAACCUGAGCACCUUGAACUAUUAAGUCAGUUUAGCAAAAAUCAUAGGCUAUAUGGUCAAUAUACAGACAUCAUUUUUGGUUCUCUAUGGUGUUACCUGGUACUAACAAUGAACAUCUGAAAAGUCAAAGUUCAGUAACAAUGACAUUAACGUCAAAUAGUAAAGUACAUAAGAAUAAAUAAUGUGUAUGAGCCCUGAUGCUAAAAACCACAAAACACUGCUAAUAUAAAUUAAAGAAGACCUAAAUAAAUUGAGAUGUAUAAUCAUCUCACUGUACAAGAUGUAUAAUAAUUGGGACUUAAAGUUGUGGUAAUCAGAACAGUAACAGUGUCGUGUUAGCAUAAGGAUAGAUCAGUUGAACAGCAUAGAGUCUAGAAAGACCCACAUAUUUAUGGCCAGUUGAUUCUGGACAGAUGUCAAGGCAAUUCGUUGAGCAAAUGUUGGAAGAGGAAUUGUAUAUCCUUAUGGGUUUGGGACUGAGGGGAGGAGGAUGGGGAGGGACCUUGAUCCUUGUCUCAUAUCAUAUCCGGAAAUUAAUUUGAAUGGAUUAUAGUCUGUAACCUCAGUGCUGUGACUUAUAAAACUUCUGGAAGAAACACUGAAGAAAAUGUGACUCUAUUAAGGCAACAUUUCUUAAGAAGGCUCAAUAAGCUUGAAUGGUAAGAGAGUGAAUAUUGGUGAAUUUCACUUCUUGAGAAUUAAAAAACUUUCUUUGAAAGGUGUGAUUAAAGAGCAGCAAGGUCAUAUUACAGACAAACAUGCAUCCUGAGAUGGGUGUAAUUUGGAGCCCAUCACAUUUCUACAGUGUGAUGUAGAAGAAAGAUUGCUGAGUUUAAAGUCAGGAACUUCU